rfam:Brassica napus, WGS project CCCW01000000 data, contig: 13758
AGCCAUGUGGUGAGCACAAAGCGAACUAUUCUUUCGCCUUUUACUAAAGAAUACCGUGUGCUCUCCACGCCAAGUGGCAUACGCUUAUUUUUGGAGGGAUCCACUUUCGAGUGGAC